AAACUCUGAUACUACUAUUGGAUAAAAUUAAUAUCCAAAACAAAACGUAAAAAUCAUAUAGAUUUUUACAUCUUUCGCUGCAGAAUAUAUUACAAUUACUAGGAUCUGAUCUCGUCUUAUUUUACGAACUCUUUGAUCCACCAAGAAUCUAUCUCGCAUGUUGUUCUUUCUCGUUGCAAACCGGCUAUCAGAGUCGAUCGCAGCACCACCACCCAAAUCCCUAGGGUUUCUGAUUGUGCCCUAGAGCGAACCAAAGAGAGAAUUUUGGUGGAGAUAUUAUUUUAAUUUUUUCGUACCCCUGUAUGUGGCCAAUACCUCAUGUAUUUAUUGGUCAUAAGGGCGACAUUAAUCCUAAUCCUAUUUUGACUAAAUCUUUCAUAAAUAAAGAUUCAAAUAGAUUAUAAUCUAUCUCUUAGAUUUAUUUCUUAUCCCAUAUAGACUAGAAAUAUCUCAGAUAAUUAUCAAUAUUUAUUUCUUAUUCCAUAUGGAUUGGAAAUAUUUUUGAUAAGUCCCAAUAUGGACAAAUCCUAACAAAAAGGAUAUUAAUAGAGAU
rnacentral:lncRNA from 1 species